rnacentral:rRNA from 1 species
UUGUCUUUUAAAUGAAGACCCGUAUGAAUGGCACAACGAGGGCUUAACUGUCUCCUUUUUCCAGUCAAUGAAAUUGAUCUUCCCGUGCAGAAGCGGGAAUACCUACAUAAGACGAGAAGACCCUAUGGAGCUUUAGACACCAGAAUAGAUUAUGUUAAGUAUUUCCAAUAAAAGAACAAAACCAAUUAACCCCUGUUCUAAUGUCUUUGGUUGGGGCGACCGCGGGGAAACAAAAAACCCCCAUGUGGACCGGGAACACCUCCCUCCUACAACCCAGAGUUACCACUCAAAGUAACAGAACUUCUGACCAAUUAUGAUCCGGCAUUAGCCGAUCAACGGACCGAGUUACCCUAGGGAUAACAGCGCAAUCCUCUUUUAGAGCCCAUAUCGACAAGAGGGUUUACGACCUCGAUGUUGGAUCAGGACAUCCUAAU